rnacentral:rRNA from 1 species
AUUGAACGCUGGCGGCAGGCUUAACACAUGCAAGUCGAGCGGAGCGAGGGUGCUUGCACCUUAGCUUAGCGGCGGACGGGUGAGUAAUGCUUAGGAAUCUGCCUAUUAGUGGGGGACAACAUUCCGAAAGGAAUGCUAAUACCGCAUACGCCCUACGGGGGAAAGCAGGGGAUCUUUGGACCUUGCGCUAAUAGAUGAGCCUAAGUCGGAUUAGCUAGUUGGUGGGGUAAAGGCCUACCAAGGCGACGAUCUGUAGCGGGUCUGAGAGGAUGAUCCGCCACACUGGGACUGGGACACGGCCCAGACUCCUACGGGAGGCAGCAGUGGGGAAUAUUGGACAAUGGGCGGAAACCUGAUCCAGCCAUGCCGCGUGUGUGAAGAAGGCCUUUUGGUUGUAAAGCACUUUAAGCGAGGAGGAGGAGCUCUAGGUUAAUACCCUAGAUGCUUGGACGUUACUCGCAGAAUAAGCACCGGCUAACUCUGUGCCAGCCGCCGCUGUAAUAC